GUCAAUAUAUAUUAAUUCUGUGAUAAACUGCUUGAUGUCAAAAUUCAAACACUUUACCAUCGACCGUUCGGUCUCGGUCAUACUAUCGCACGGUCUUAUUCAUAAUACCACUCGGUCCUAUUCAUGCUUCGACCUUCAACCUUGGUCAUACUACCACUCGGCAAUUCUCACUACUGAUCGGACUCAUUCAUGCUUCAGCCUUCAGUCCCAAUCAUACUACCACUCGGUCUUAUUCACACUACCGCUCGGUCUCAUCCAUUCUUCCGCCUUCCAUCACUCGGAAUCAUUUUCCACUAUUCAGUUCUUCCUUCCACCGCACGUUCUCAUCAUUCACCGCUCGGUUUUCUGACCUUCAUCAUCAACAUCGCUUUUAUGAUCAAUCCACUAUUGUUUUAUGUAACCGUUUAUUGUUUUCUGUUAUUAAGCAUUUAUUGCUUUCUGUUAUUGCUUUCUUUUUCUCUGUAUAAAUAGACACUAGUUUCUAUCUCUCUGUAACGUUUCAACACAUCAAUCAAAACACAUUUCGUUUAUCUCCUCAAGGCGCUUUCUUUACUUUCUUUGCUUUCUCUAUCUUUCGAUCUCAGUCUGUAAGCCUACUUUAUACUUUUUACUAUGAUGCUUGUAAAUGCACACUAGUUUCCCCUUCUGUCUUUUUUUUUCUUUUCUUUUAUUUUCUUUUCUUUCUUCUUUCUUGGUUUUAAUUUUUGCCUUCUUUGUUCGUUCUUUCACAGACUUUCAGCAAAUAUGAUGGACGCCCAUGACUAAUACUCCAAUUUCCUCUGCUUACAUCCUAGUGAAAGCUCUCCGGUUUCUCUAGUUUCCCCUCUCCGUGAAUCGACCAACUAUCAUGCUUGGAGUAAAUCCAUGUUCACUGGCCUUAGCACCAAGAACAAAGUGCGCAAUAGACCACAUUGUUUCUUCUCUUCACCACUUAUA
rnacentral:lncRNA from 1 species